rnacentral:rRNA from 1 species
CCCUUAGAUGUCCUGGGCCGCACGCGCGUUACACUGAUGCAUUCAACGAGCUUAUAACCUUGGCCGAGAGGCCUGGGCAAUCUUGUUAACGUGCAUCGUGAUAGGGAUAGAUUAUUGAAAUUAUUAAUCUUGAACGAGGAAUUCCUAGUAAACGCAGAUCAUCAAUCUGCAUUGAUUACGUCCCUGCCCUUUGUACACACCGCCCGUCGCACCUACCGAUUGGACGGUCCGGUGAAGCCUCGGGAUUGUGGUUCUUGCUGCUUUAUUGUGGCGUGACCGCGAGAACUUGUCUAAACCUUAUCAUCUAGAGGAAGGUGAAGUCGUAACA